UCAAAGGCAGCUUUGCAAAGCACCAAGUGGACCUUCUGUUCCACGGGCAGCUGAGCAUCCCAGAGCCUACAGGUGGAGCUUUAAUACCCGCCCUCAUUCAGAGCUUUGUGGAGAUGAAUAGUUCCACGCAAAUAUAAAGAAGAGAUUAGCAAACUUCUCAACCGUGAUCAUCCACAAAGAGAAAACGCAGCAGAAUCCAACUGCCCACAGACAGAAAGAAGCAAGUGCAGUUAUGUACCACAGGACUAAAGUAAAAGGAAACCUACUGUGUGUACACAGCUCCAACCAUUGAAGCUGGAAAGGCAUCAGAAGGGUCCUUCUGUUACUAACAGCAUUAAGUGGGAGUCGGAUCUCCACUGUACUUCAGCUCUGCUUGUACCUCACCACCAGACUGUCUAUACAGCACACUAACACUAUUACUCCUGCACAGGAUCACUGUAAUGCUUCCUGACAACUUCAAAACACAAAGUAAAUAACCAGUGCUUUCUAUUCAUCACAUGGUCUGCAGCUGAGAUGCGCCACGAAGAUACUGGGUUAUUAUUAUACACAAGCUAAGUUUUCAGAGCUGUCUUGAGACCUCCCUUAGGCUCUGUAGGGAGUUGCUACACUCUGAUGUUCAAGAUGAAUUGGGAUCCAACCACACUGGUCUGUAUGACCAUUUCAACCUACUGCAUUUUGUAGGAUUUGGCUCCAUAUUCUAAUACUGUGUCUUAGAAUAUUUCUCUGGAAAAAAAAAAAAAAGACCAAAAAUUGCAAGAGAUCCAACAACAUUUUAAUAAAAUGUUCUCUCUAUGCUUCCAGAUGAAAGACAUAUCUGAUGUCAAAGCACCACAAACUAAAUGCAAUUUAAAUAACUACACUAAAAUUCUCAGGCUAACACAAUUGCCACAUUGGGAGAGGGAAGAAAAAAACAAAACAAAACAAAACAAAACAAAACAAACAAAAAAAAAAACUCUAAAAUCAAUCAGCUGGUACCCUUCAGCCCAGAAAAUCCAACCUGUGAUUUGACAUACAUUUUUAAAUACUAACUUUUCUCAGCUAACUCACAACACUUACUGCACUAGAACUCCAUAACUUGUUCAGAAUAUACCCAAAACAUACCACAAAAUCAGAUGUCCACAGGGUAUGGAGAAGUAUGGACUGGACUUGAGUUGACAUAAACCAUUAAAUGAAAUCAAAGGAAAUGACAAGAGCCAUCAGGUAUGGUUUUCUUCCACAGUGAAAGUGAUUUAUUUGCUAACUAUAAACCAAACAUUCACGUACUGGUAAAAGCUUUCCAUCUGAUGACUUAAAAGCAUGUGUUUUGACCAGUGUAAAACCACCACUACAUCUCCUUUGCUUAGUAGUGUUCUUACAUUUCAGUGACUUGGUCAUC